CCUACGUGAGGCUGCAGUGGGGGAUAUUGCACAAUGGGGGAAACCCUGAUGCAGCGACGCCGCGUGUGGGAAGGCGGUCCUCUGGAUUGUAAACCACUGUCCCCAGGGACGAAGAUGAUGGAACCUGGGGAGGAAGCUCCGGCUAACUACGUGCCAGCAGCCGCGGUAAUACGUAGGGAGCGAGCGUUGUCCGGAAUUACUGGGUGUAAAGGGAGCGGAGGCGGGACUGCAAGUUGGGGGUCAAAUCUACCGGCUCAACCGGUAGCCGCACUCAAAACUGCAGGUCUUGAGUGAAGUAGAGGCAGGCGGAAUUCCUGGUGUAGCGGUGAAAUGCGUAGAUAUUAGGAGGAACACCGGUGGCGAAGGCAGCCUGCUGGGCUUUUACUGACGCUGAGGCUCGAAAGUGUGGGGAGCAAACAGGAUUAGAUACCCGAGUAGUC
rnacentral:rRNA from 1 species